rnacentral:sRNA from 1 species
ACAAUUUGAUGAAUUUUGAACAACUUCAGUUAUGCAACCACCACAACAUGAUGGAUUGUUUUAGUAAAUGUUCUUACCAUGAGUUCAUCCUUGUUUAAGUCUGGAGUUUGCCGUGUUAAGGUUGCAGGUGCUUGAAAGUAUAAUAAAAUUGUAGGUUUUUAAAUCUUUUUUUUAAUCUCUUACUGGAAGGAUGAAUUAUAGUUUAAAUAGUAAUAAUGCAUUGUCAUUUUUACACUUACUGUUUAAAUAAGUUAGGUCAUUAUUUUCCGAAAUGAAUGUAGUAGAAUUUCAGAAUGGCUUCUGGAACAUGUUUCCUGUUAAAAGGCCUAGAAUAUCCUGCAGUGGUAGAGUUUGCUCCAUUCCAGAAGAUAGCCAAAAAGAAGCUGAGAAAAAAAGAUGCCAAGACUGGAAGCAUCGAAGAUGAUCCAGAAUAUAAGAAGUUUUUAGAAACCUACUGGGUGGAGGAAGAGAAGACCAGUGCCAACCCUGAGACUCUGCUGGGGGAGAUGGAGGCGAAGACAAGAGAGCUCAUUGCUAGAAGAACCACACCUCUUUUGGAAUAUAUUAAAAAUAGAAAAUUAGAAAAGCAGAGAAUUCGAGAAGAGAAGCGAGAAGAACGGAGGAGGAGAGAGUUAGAAAAGAAACGUUUGCGGGAAGAGGAAAAAAGAAGAAGAA